rnacentral:lncRNA from 1 species
GGUGGUAUUGAUCUGACCCCCUUGCCCCAUCCUUUCUUUCGAAACUUAUGUUUAAUGAAAUCUUCAAUUUGUGGUCGACUAACCACCGUUUCAUUGCAGCAAAGUCAUAACUAACACGUAACCAAAACGUAACUUUAUUAAAGAGAACUAAGUAACUUACAAAUAUUAAAUCGACAUCAGAUGCCCCAGCAACCUGUGGGUGCAAAUGAACUAUCUUCUUGAUAACAAAAAAACAGGCUAAAAGUUCAAGUAAACAAGCCGAUUAUGGUAUUCACAAAGCCCACUAUCCAGAUUCCACCAGACACACAACACUUCACAAGUAGCUUCACCAUAGAAGAAGCAAUGACGACCAGGACCACACCAACAAUAUCUGGCACAAAGUAUCACUACAACAGACGACGUACAUCACAACCACACAUGUAGCUCCAUCCGGCGAGAACUUUUAUAGAAAAACCUAUUUUACAUAAUGUAAUUAAGACAAAAUAAAAUAAAAGUUUACUUAUAACAAAAAUGUAUUAGUAGCUUUAUAUAUAUAUUUUCUCUGUUAAAUUAUACAAUAUUCACCACCUUCAAUUAUGAAUAUGCACAAGACGAAACUACUUUUCUUCUUUUUUUUCCUUUUUUUGAUGCCAUUCAAUCCAAACUAAACGAAAAUUCAACAUGGCAACAGAUGAAUGUGAUAGGUACAAUACCUCUCCUUUUUUCUAUAUUUUAUUUUAAUUUCUUAAAUAUACUAAGCCAAAUUAUUCUUUCUCCUCCGGUUCCUUACAUGCUUGUCCAGUUUUCUUCAUUAAGCAAUGUAGAAUGGUCAUAUAACAAUUCUAAAGUAGUUACAAUUUUCUCUUGUAAAUAUUUUAUUUAUCUAUGUACAGUUGU